AAGUAUCUCAAUAUAUAGGCUGCUCCUCANUAAUCUUGUGUGGUAUCAGAAGCUAAGCAAGGCUCAGCCUGAUAAGUAUUUGGAUUAGAUACCACUUUGGAAUACCAGGUGCUAUACUUA
rnacentral:rRNA from 1 species